GGGUCCAAUAAGGCUAGAACACCAUGGACCAACCCAACCUAAGGAGAAGGGUAAAAGAGACAUUUCCACAAAGGGAUGGGGGUGAAUUUAUCAAAUAGGGAGCUGCCCAAGAAGAGUUCACAUGUUUCACCAUCACGACAUCUGAUACGUGAUUUGGUAGAAACAUUGUUGCACCUCCAUGCAUCUGCAUUGCUUCACCCAAAAGAAUGACAUACAUUCCUCACCGUUGCCACGUGGGAAGAUCCGCAUCUCUUUAGCUGNCAUCUCCACCGUCCAUAGCAUAGGAUUUGCUUUAUAAAUAUGAAUGUAUCAGAUUAUGAUAGUACCUUUGAUUUGAAUGAAGAAUUAUUUUGUUGAUCUCUGUCCAGAAAUUUCUUCUUGUUAAAGGUCACCAAGAGAGAGCUUGAGAGUUUCCUCUAGCCUCUCUUCCUAGCUAGGCUUCCAUUCCUAGCAUAUCUCUAUCCAUCCGCAUCACAUUUCAGCAUCCAAACCUCCUCUGCAUCAACCUUAUCUUCAUCACCGAGUCUUCCAUUUGCUUUCAUCUAGCCACCAACACUGUUUAAAUAGUGGUUUCCAGAGUUUCUACUUCCUACGGUCAUUAUCAUCAUAAUUCAACUUAUUCCGCUACAUUACAUCAUCAUUUUGAGUCACGUAUAACCAUUCAGAGAAGAAGAUAUGGUUGAUUGCUUCCACCUCCAGAAUCAGCCAAAUCGUUCUUCCAUCAUCUUCUCUACAUUAUUCCAAUAGCUAAAUGUUGAAAAUUUAAACACAA
rnacentral:lncRNA from 1 species